GAUGAACGCUGGCGGCGUGCCUAAUACAUGCCAGUCGAGCGAACAGAUGAGGAGCUUGCUCCUCUGACGUUAGCGGCGGACGGGUGAGUAACACGUGGAUAACCUACCUAUAAGACUGGGAUAACUUCGGGAAACCGGAGCUAAUACCGGAUAAUAUAUUGAACCGCAUGGUUCAAUAGUGAAAGACGGUUUUGCUGUCACUUAUAGAUGGAUCCGCGCCGCAUUAGCUAGUUGGUAAGGUAACGGCUUACCAAGGCAACGAUGCGUAGCCGACCUGAGAGGGGGAUCGGCCACAUGGGAACUGAAACACGGUCCAGACUCCUACGGGAGGCAGCAGAAGGGAAUCUUCCGCAAUGGGCGAAAGCCUGACGGAGCAACGCCGCGUGAGUGAUGAAGGUCUUCGGAUCGUAAAACUCUGUUAUUAGGGAAGAACAAAUGUGUAAGUAACUAUGCACGUCUUGACGGUACCUAAUCAGAAAGCCACGGCUAACUACGUG
rnacentral:rRNA from 1 species